rnacentral:misc_RNA from 1 species
GAUGAAGAACGCAGCGAAAUGCGAUACUUGGUGUGAAUUGCAGAAUCCCGUGAACCAUCGAGUCUUUGAACGCAAGUUGCGCCCGAAGCCUCGGCUAAGGGCACGUCUGCCUGGGCGUCACGCAUCGCGUCUCCCCCAAACCGCCAAGGCGGUGGGGAAGGAAGAUGGCUUCCCGUGCCUCACCCGGGCGCGGUUGGCCUAAAUUUGGAGCCCGCGGCACUUAGCUCUCGCGGCGAUAGGUGGUGAACAAGGCCUUGGCCGUGCAAACAACCCGCUGCGAAGCUCUAUGUCACGUGCGCUCGUCGGACCCUUUGAAGUUGCCUUUGGUGACUUAAAACCUUUGCGACCCCAGGUCAGGCGGGGCUACCCGCUGAAUUUAAGCAUAUCAAUAAGCGGAGGA